AUUGAACGCUGGCGGCAGGCUUAACACAUGCAAGUCGAGCGGUAACAGGUCCUUCGGGAUGCUGACGAGCGGCGGACGGGUGAGUAAUGCAUAGGAAACUGCCCAGUAGUGGGGAUAGCCCGGGGAAACCCGGAUUAAUACCGCGUACGCCCUUCGGGGAAAGCAGGGGAUCUUCGGACCUUGCGCUAUUGGAUGUGCCUAUGUCGGAUUAGCUAGUUGGUGGGGUAAAGCCUACCAAGGCGACGAUCCGUAGCUGGUCUGAGAGGUGAUCAGCCACAUCGGACUGAGACACGGCCCGAACUCCUACGGGAGGCAGCAGUGGGGAAUAAUUGGACAAUGGGGGCAACCCUGAUCCAGCCAUGCCGCGUGUGUGAAGAAGGC
rnacentral:rRNA from 1 species